GACGAGUAGGCAAUGGCGGAAGAGGUGCCAUUCUUUGAAACGAAGAAAGGUGAAGAAGACAAACAGAGGCGAAGAAGAGUUUUUGUCAAAGAAAACAAAAAUAGAUGAAAGGGAUAGAAGAGACAAAAAGAAUGGGAAGCUUGGAGAAGAAGAAAAGGUCAUCGUAUAGAAUUGUCGCGUCAAAGCGAGUUUCGAGGUUGGCUAUAAUGGUGAAUAGAUGGCGGUAAUUAAAAUGACUUAAUUAAUGCCGCAGAUAAGACAAAAUGAGGAUAAAGAUUGGGCCGUAAGAAAGAAAAUAGACGGCUAAGGUUAAACUGUACAAAGGGUCACGCCUCAAAUUACGUCUGGUAUUAGUACAGAGAUUUUGAAUGUGAUUGGACCGAGAACGACGCCUCGGAUCGCGCUUGUUAUCAAAGCAAUUACAGGAUUUCGGCAGCGAAAAAGGGGACG
rnacentral:lncRNA from 1 species